AGUUUUCAAUCUUUUUUAUUUAUUUAAACUGUACACAAAUGUAAAAUACUUCAACAGCAAAUCUAAGUGAAAAUUGUUUGGUUUAAAUUAUUAUGGAACAGAACCUAAAAGGAACUUUAUUAAAUAAACAUAAAAAUUGGAUUUAAAGGAUGCACAUAUUGUAAUGUAUUCUACAAUAGUCACUUUUUUUUCACUCUACAUUCCAUGUGCGUAUGGUAUAGAAAAGACACUGAAUAGAACAAACAGAAUCCAUUUUGUACCCUGAAACAAUUGGUAGGCCUUGUGAGGGAUUGCUCAGUAUGACUACAUGAUAUAUGAUGGCUUUGCCAUCUCAUAAAAAUUAUAACUAAUAUGUUGGCCUCUUUGGUUCCAAAAUUUCUGUAUAAUACAUUUAACUGUAUUCAUUUUUUGCUGCUAUAAAAAUAACAUUUUUUUUCAAAUGGCAGUUUUUGACUAAUCAUGCAACUAAAUCAGUGCAAACAUUAAAAGCAAUCAUUCGCUUUAAAAAAGAAGCAAAAGAUUUAAUUUCAAGUAUAAAAAAAUAUAAAAAAGUCAUAUCAUAAGUCCAGUUUUGUCUAGUAUGGGUCAACACUUUAAAUUGCAUAGCUCAUGCGGCACCUGUUUACCUAGAUAGUGAGCAAAGAUAAGUGCACUAUCAAGUACCACUUUUCAAGGCAUUGAAAUUUGCAAGUGCUAUUAUACGUGCAUUCAAGCAGUUUGCAAGUGCUAUGCUGUAUCAUUAUUUUCUGAUCUUUAUGGCCAUCCUUGACACCUCCUGGUAAGGAAAUUGAAAGCACUCUCCUCUCUCCUCCUUUCCAAGACUUGUAAAAAUGCUCCUCGCCUGUUAUUAAAUGCACUGCAUUUCCCAGAACGUCUCCACUCUGUCGCUGUCACUCCUCUUUAGGGUUCAUUGGUUUAGCCGUGGUGGCCAUUGCUUGUUUGCUCGUCCCCCACGUGACGUAGCCUUGCCGAGUCCCCCACUGAAGAACACAGAUUGCAACUUUUGACUUUUUGUUCUUUGCACAGUGAGAGAUGCCAACAGUCAACACAGUCCAGAUAUGGUAUCGAUUCCCUCUUCCAAGACACGGCGGGUGUAGCCAACCAUGGGUUGCUAGUGGGCAGUAAAAGCAUCGGAUCACGCCAGCCCAGCUUGUGACUCCGCAACGGCCAGGAGUUAGAAAUACAGCAGUUUCUAACAUGUCUGCCCCCUUUUCUCUCUCUCUCUCCCCCCGAUGGAACCACAGGAUUCCUUGCUGGAAGUGCUGUAGCAAGAAGUGGGUAUCUGUGAUGUUUAUGUUUAGAUAAAUUUAAAUUAAGAGGAAGUGAUAGCCUCCCAAGGCAGGUGUCCUGCAGCUUCCUGUUAGACCUAAGAGGUGACAGUCGACUUUUUUUUUUUCUUGUUUGUUUUUUUUUAGUUUUCUAAGUUUGGUCAUUUUGACACCUGCGUGCAAGA
rnacentral:lncRNA from 1 species